UUUACCGUCUCUUUUAAGCUUGCGGAGCUCCCAUGAUGUCAGACUCAACGUAACGUCUAAAGAGAGCCUCUCAACGCCGUCUUUGUUGUUCUUGCUCUUCGUCUUUAUGUUUUGUGACGAUAAACAAGUAAUGUGAGGUGGCCUGUGGGUUCAGGUUGUUCACUGGUGGAGGACGAAAAAAGCAGGUCCAGCCGACUUAGAUGAGCAGCACAAAGUGUCACGCAUGCGACAAACGAGGGCUGCCAUCACCUUCACCUCCCCCUCCACAUGGCAUUGAGAUCAGCGGGGUGAUGUUUCCAGAGCUGACUACUCUGUAUUAAACAUGGAUGCCGGCAAACACGCUGCAGUGAAGAGAGAGGGCUUGGUCCUAUGUCUGUCUGAAGUAAAAAAGCGAGAAACAACUGAGACAUUAAAGGCGGGAAAAACUUCCCACUUGAAUGUAUGGAAAACAACAGCUUGGACAUGCAUCGCAUUUUCUGUUUUAUAGAAGAAAGCAAAACAGGGUCACAACAACAUGAGGGUGAGUAAAUGAUGACAGUUUUCAUUUUUUGGUGAACAACAUUGUUUUUCAUGCACUGGUCAAUUUUGAGAUUUGAAGAAAAAAAUUCACAUUUAAUUAUUUAUUUUAUUACAUUUAAUCUAUUUGCAUCUAUAGAUAACAAUACAUAUUGUAUCUUUGAAGGACAUUUUCUCAAAAUGUGUUUUUCCUCAUGCACCUGAGCAAGAAACCUUCACUAUACAGUAUUCUUUAGAUUUUUUCAGAGGGGUUUGUACAAAUAUAAUUUGCAUGAUUCUAUACUGUACAACAUUUUACUCCUAAAACAUGGUAAAAAAUGUAUUUUCUGGCUGUUGAGAGAAGUUUCUGAUUUCUGAAAUGAUAAAAAGAGAUAUCCAAAAUCCCUUCUGUAAAAACCUUUGACUCUAAUAUGUCAACAACAUGUAUUUUGAACCUGGCUUUAUUCCAUGUUUAUUAACUUUAUGCAAAUGUUUUUAUGCAUAUUUAAUUAGAAAAUGCCUCAUUUGCAUAUUUUAACAUUUCUGCUUGUAUUACAAAAAAAUGCCUGCAAUUCUUAAUGUAAUCAGUCAACUAGGGAGAUAUUGCGAUAUCUAUUAGUUAAAAAUUCUUACCCUAUUCACCUCGGCUGUCUUGCCUCGAAGCACCAGCACACUGACCCUCUUCUAAAGAAAGAAAAGUUCUUCGUUAGGCUAAGACGAUCUUUGGGGUUCUAAUAGGAGCGUUUGUGGAUUCUGUCAACGGGCCGUUUCUUCUCUGUAGGGUGCGAGAGGCAGGUGGGAUGGGGGAGGUUGGGUGUGAUGGUUUGGUCAUGUAUCCUUGCAAAUUUCUCCACUCAGUGUCAGUGGGCUGUAAACGAUGCCAGCACGCAUUUCAUCCCAUAAAUAUUUAUCACAUGGAGCAAGAGAGAAACCGAACGGGGGGAAAAAAGUAAAAAGAAAGAGAUGAAGUGAUGAGGAUUCUGCUGGAAGAGUCCUAGAGAGUGAACGCUGUUAGUUUGUCAUGCUCGGGUGGGCCGGGUCCCUGUAAUUACUGUGUACGCUCAGCAGCGCUCUGAGAGAGAUGAACCGGCCACAGCCAGAUGGCUGCAGACAUCAGGGGGCCGCAGAAUUCCACACGCUCUUCUCUCACACAUGGUCCGGCAUUAUCCAAAACAAAUUGGACUGGGCAUUAUGGUGUCAAUUAGGAAACAAAACACUAGAUGUUCUUCUAAAUAUCAUCACGGCUAAUAUUGUUUUUCUUAAGUGUCUCCCACCAGUUCUGCAGACAGUGAGUACUCACGGACUAAUCUUGAUCAACAUAUUUGGAGAUUGGCUGUGAAUGGAUACAGAUAUGUCGAACUCUUAAAUGAUUUGUCUGGAAUAACAGCGAGUGCUGAGUCAGUCUCUGGGGUUCAGUAAAAUAAGCACACAUUCUAUUUAUAAAGAGGUAAACACUCUACACAUCCAACAGCCCGACGGAGCUCAGACAGUACCAACCUCACAUGUCAAAUUAAUUGAGCUGGUAUACCGAGACGCUUGUGGGUGGUGGAAUAGGUUUGCAUCAGAUGCAGCUUAUGUCUACAUGCCUAAAUGCUUGGUGUAUGAAGACGCAUAUAAAUAUACUAAAUAAUGAAACCAGCACUUUAAAAUGAUGAGAAAGUUGAUUUAAAUGGGAAAAAAAAUAAUAGUAUUUUUUAAAAAUAUAUAUUUAUGAUUUUUUUAUUUAUUUUAAAUAUUAAAAAUAUGACUAUAAUAUAUUGCAAUAAUAUUAUAAGUAAAUGGAAAAAAAAUAUGUAAUAUAAAAAUAAAUGCAACAAAAUUGUUUCAUAUUUAAAUAUGCUAUAUUUGCAAUAUUAUAUACAUACACAUAUACAUGCACACAUAUAAAAUUCUUUGGUAACACUUUACAAUAAGGUGUCAUUUGUUAACAUUAGUUUAUUAACUAACAUGAACUAACAAUGGAUAAUACAUUUGUUACCCUAAUUAUUAGAGACCGGACGCUAAAGACAGGGAAACACAGGGCUUAAGUACUAGAACUAAACGAGGAGUAAACUAGAUGAUUUAAUAACACAGGUGGAAACUAAUGAACAAAAAAAAAAAAAAAGGGCAAACAGGAAACUCAACAGGAACACACACACACGUGACAGAUCACCCCCCCCUCCCGGACGGUGUAUCCCGAGGGAGGGUGAGCACCCUGGAGGCUGGUGCAGGACGGGGACACAGAGGAGCCCUCCAGGGCGGAUCAGGCAGACCCG